UUCCUCGAUCUGCUUCACACAUGAUCUUGAUCUAUUUCCAUGAAUCUGUCUUGCUCCACAUCCAGCCUCUCGAAGUGGCUGCUGUUAUUUCUCCCACUUUAUGGAUAUAGGAGAUGAGGCUAAGAGGACUUUGCCAGGGUCCCAUGGCUGGAACCGGAACUUGAGGAUGUAGUGUGGUGUAGUAACUAAGAGCACGACUCACAGCCUGACCCUUUCACUCAGAGCUAGCGACUGGGGCAAGGCUGAUGGCUCCAGGACCAGGACCUGCUAUCACAUGUCCAAGAUCACAUCAUAAGAUCUGCUAUCACACACAAGAUCUCUGGAACUGUCCUUAGUUCAACCAAGGCUCUCGGGGGAACUUACAUGUGGCUAAGUUUUGGCUGCUGAAAGGUCAGUAGAGGUGAGAUAUUGGAUAUCUAGAAAAUCUUUUCAAUAGUAAGGGGCUGUUCCUUUUUGUCUCUCCCCUCUCACUCCCUCCUUCCUGCCACCUAGAUUGUAGUUGUGAUAGAUGGAACACCAGCAGCCAUCUCAAACUAAGACGUGGCCUCUAGGAUGGAGGAGCGGAAACAAAGAAGGAGCCUGGGUCCUGACGACUUGAUAGGAAGACCUUCCCAGCCCGCUGAUGGCUACCUCUGGACUUUGUGUGUGAGAUACAAAUGCUGGUGGCUUUGAGUCACUAGAUCAUGGGGGAUCUGAUGCUUGCUUGAGUGCUAUGCUAUGUAAAUUAAGUUGAUUGAGUGAUUGAUUACAGUGAGGAAACAGCACAUCUGAUGACCCUGACUCCUGCCCAUCCAUCUUCCUGGAGUAAGGUCACCAGAAGAUGGAAUUGGCAGAGUCACACGCUGAGGGGGUGUCUGGCUCUGGCCAGAGAGGAGCCUACGGUGCUCACUCUGCGCACCGCAGGACCCACCUCUCUCCUCGGCCACUAGGACGCUCAUGCAGCCAGCCUCAGUGAUCCUCCUCCUCCCUACAUGCUGCACGGAGCAUUCAGGGCAGAGCACGGUGGGUUGGACCCAGCCUCCAACCCCUGCCCCCUGGAUGCAGUAGGCACCUGUCCCCUCUCUCCCCUGCCAUCUCUAACAAUGGUGUGCCCGCUUGUUCUGUGUGUCGGAUGUCACUCCUGCUGGCUCUGAAGGUGACACGUCCUGUCUAGGUCCAAGGUCUAUGAUGGGGGAAGGGGAUGCACCUCCCUUCUGGUCCCUUCUGGAACCUUCUGGAACCCUCUGGAACUUCCAACCACUCAGCACAGUCCUGGUGGACAGGGUGGCUUGGUUCCGCUCCCUCCAGCGCCUUCUCCGGGCCAGCACAGGAUGCAGCAGGCAGCCUCUCGGGCACACUGGGAGAGUCAUGAAGUUCCCUCCUGACAGCCAAGAUGUCGGUGCCACCAGCCACUGCGCCACCUGCUCAGAGGGCUUUGUCCAUGUUUGUGUGCGCAGUGGUGGCCUCUGUCCCCAGUGCCACAUCCGGGGAACCACUCAGCAGCUUCUCCGAGCCCACUGCUGAGCCUCAUGUGGCUGUCCUCUGGCCCAUCCCUCUGAGCACAGCCAUGCCCCUCCUCCUGAUAGGGACAGAUGGAUUGGUGUCCCCACAUUUUGCCUCCACUGCCCAGCCCCUGGGCUCCCCAGUGUCCUGCGCUUCUUGUUGAGGGUCCCCAGUCAGCUCCCCAAGCAGAACAGAUCCAAACUCGGCUCCUUUGUGUCACCCCAGCCUCUGUGGUGUCAGCGGAUGGCGCCCCCACUUCCAAGGUGCUCAGCCCUAAAGCCUGGGGCUUGUUGCCUGGCCAGCUCUGCUGCCUACGGUCCUCCACCAGGAAAUCCUGUCAGCCUUGCCUUCAAGGGAUAACAGACCUCCACAACUUUUUACCAGGUGGCUGUUUCUAGCCUGGGCAGAGCCACCUCUCCCUCUCUUCAGCCUCCCUGGCGUCUCAGCUAUUCCUUAAAUCCCACAAACACGUCCUGCCUCGGGGCCUUCAUCCUGCUGCACCCUCUGCCCUAAUGCUCUUCCUUCAGGUAGCUACAUGGCUCACUCCUUCCUUCUCUGUUCAGUUUCCCAGCACCCAUGUCAACCCUCUGCAUCUGCUAUGGUUAGGGUGUGUUUGUCCCCAAAGGAGCAGGUGCCAGACUGUUUGUCCCAGUGUCUCAGUGUCCAGGUGCUGAACUUUAAGGGGUGGGUUCUGGUGGAGGGGCUGUAACAAUGGGAACAUCGUCCUUGGACGAGAUCAGCGCUGGUCUUGUGGAGUCCUCCAGGGUGCAGGUGGUGAGGAAGCAAGGCCACCUCGCGUGCUCGACCCCUCCGUUCCUCCUCUGCUUCUCGCCGCGUUGCAUCCCAGCUGGGGUCCUCACCAGGAUGCUGUCACCGAGCUGUUUGGACCUUCCUUGUCACCAGAAUUGUGAGCCAAUAAACCUCUUUAUCUA